rnacentral:lncRNA from 1 species
GAAAUAGUGAGACGAGUUCCCUAAUUUUUACUCUCAUAGAGCUUAAUAUCAGCUACUUUUAAUAUUUUGAUUCAGUGACUGGUGUUUUGCUUUUGGCAUAUAGAAUAGUAUGUCUUAGGUAAAACUCUAAUACCUUGUUUUGGUUGAAAACUUCCUAUGGAUAUAAAGUUUUCACAACUUUGUCAUCCUUGACCCCUCAUUUAUGAGUUGACCUGGUUUAGUGCAUUUAUCCCUAGAGGGCGCCAUAUCCUCACUUCUUGAUGGUCUUUAAGUGUUGGGAGGCUGAAGGGGUUAGAGUGCAAGAGGGGAAUAUUUUGGUAAAUCCAUCAGUAGUGGAGGCUUCAUUAGAGCAUGAUAAAUGCGUAACUUAAUAGGUACACUUUGUUUAAGAUUUAUAGCAAAUGAGAUGAUGUGGUCCAGUGGUUGUGGUUAGUUGUUCAGUUCAGUUCAAGUCCUUGGUGGCAUCGAUUCAGAGCAGCCUGAGGAAUAGUACCAGCAGGCAGUGGAGUGCUGGGAGCACCCUUAGCAAUUCAGUGGACCUGUGCUCUGUGGUAGAACAUGUCACCUGUAUGGCCCAUUUGACUUCGCUUUUCUGAUUUGUAAGGUUAGAAAGUCAGUCGUGACUCCUGUCACACUUCCACCAACUCAGGGAUUCAUGAUCCUUGGUAUAUAAGAGCAGUUCUGCAGUCUGGGAGAGGAAGUAGGACUAGUGCUCCCAACUGCUCAUUCAAAGGAAAUUUAGGUAGUUAACCCUGUGAAAUUUUGGCCA